AGUCGCAAGGGCAAGCUCUGGAUAUCUUGCAUGAAUUGGGAGCAGGCAGAGGAAGCAUGACAGAUCCCACCAAGAGGAAUUUAAACUUAGAAGCUGAGAGAAGUGUCUCUAGAAGUGUCCAGAAGGAGACUGAACAUUGAAGGAAGAGGCAGAAGGGUGGUUUUAACCUCUCCCCUUGGAAGCAAAGACCUCAAGCAAGGUCAGAUUAAGGUCCCUAGCACAGAAUUUUGUGUGUGUGUUUGUGUGUAUCCCUCUCUUCCUCCUCAGUUUUCCUUCACUUUUCAGUCCCCUAAUCAAGCCCUGUGUCUGCUGGUCACAAGAAAGCACUGGCCUUCUUCCCUCUGCCAUAUGGUAGGCAAGGUCUCACAUGGGCAUUAGAGAUAAAGUUUUGAACCCAGCUAAUUCCUGCUGAUGGGCCACAUUUACCACCAAUGGUGUAAAGUGGUACAGUUCAUUCUUUCUGCCGCAUGUGUAGAUGAUGCAACAGAUUUUUUAAAAAAAAAAUAAUGCAGCAUGCCAAUAUACCAAAUUGUGGCCUUUUCUCCACUCCCAGCUUCAGGUGCUUUGAGGCGUUUGAGGACUAAAGAAGGAUGGGCUCACGUCCAGUUUCUGGACAUAAGGCAAUCCUCUACCCAUCCUCAAACAAUAAGCAACAUUCUCCUAUCAGCAAGAGGUAUACAUUCGAUAUGUUCUGACUGCAGAAAAGCCAUUCCUUUCCCUCCCCAAUAAACAUUCCAAUGUGAGUGUUAUGCCCUACGUGGCUGUAAAUAGGCCAAGAGUAAGCCAUGAUGAAUAGCGAGAGCUCCAGUAAACUAUUCAUCUAGCUGACAUCAUCACACUAAGCCUUCACCUUCUCGCAUGGAUUUAGGAAAUGAAGCUUGGUUCGCAGCAGAUAGAAGAAACAUAUGGUGAAUUUUAUUAGUCUUCAGAGGCAACUUGAAAAUCCCAGGAGCCUUUGUGAUUGCUUUCUUUCCCAUUAUAUCCGCAGUGGUGUUAGGAACCACGCGUAGAGAAGUGGAGUGAUGAUGAAGAUGUGGAUUAUCCUUGCAUGCAGAAGGUAUAUUAUGCAGUUAGAUGUUGCUGCCACACUGAGAAGAAAACUCAGACAAUAAAUGCCAGGAAGCAUGUAAGCAGCAGGAGUGGGCAUGAGUGCCGUCCUGUAAAGUGUUCCAAAGUGAAAAUCAAAGCGAGGAGAUAAAAGCAAACAUUGGUCUGGGCUUUUUAAUCAGGCGCCUGGAGCAGAGCUAAGGCAGGAAUGAUAAAUCUGUGACUAUGUUAUAGUACAGGGAGAGAGAGCACCACAGUUGAUCAGGUCAAUGUUUAUGUUAACUGUGGUGGAAAUCAUUGAGCACUCACCUUUCACCUGCGCAAAUAAAUCAGCAGCUUAGAAACUGUGGCUAAUUUAUGGCAUAGCAUGCAAUCUCACUAACAACUCAGGUGGAAAGGUAAACAAUUUAAAACAAUCCGAGAUUUAUUUGCAGACUUCAUACACUAGUAAAUGUGGCCUGCUUCUAAUAAUUACUAUUAGAAAUUCUUUGUUGGCAGGAAAAUGUGGUGAAAUUUAGUCUGAUUCUGACGUAAUCAUGGAAUGUGGUUGGUUAGCUAGCCCUUUAUGUACCCUACCCCAAACCAGGAACUUCACAGUCAGAAAUGCUGGAUGUUAACUAUACAGAGCAUUUCAAGGGGGACUGGAAACAUUUUCUUGUCCAUGUGAAAAGUAACUUUCCAUAUGCAAAGUCCACAGAGGAGUUUGAAGUCUAAGAGAAAAAAGAGCAGAACAUAGUAAGAAAUCUGUUAAAAAGGAUGAAACAGAAUAUUCUAAUUAUAUGUAAUCAUGAUUAUAAACAUGGGUGCUCAGGAAGUCAUUGGUAUUGUAGAAUAGGAUUAUACUGUAACUGUUGUGUGAUAAAGUGUAACUUUGAAUUUUGAAAUAAAACAAAACAUUAGAAGUCAAAAAAGGAAGAGCCAAUCUGCAAAAUGAAAAAAAUCUAUAAUCUGCAUUAACAGUUCCAGGUUCGCACAUACAUUAAUGUAAAUAAAGUCAGUUUAUCUAUACAUGAUUAUUAUUAGCUCUUCAAUGUUUCAGUCUCAUUUGAGCGAGGGGCAUUUGGCUUGAAACCCUGAAGCAAAAUGAAAAGGGGAGGUCAAAACACUGGGGUAGGGCUUAAAUAAUUUGGGAGGAAGACGAGUGGAGAUGGCUUACAAUUCCAGCCAAAGGGAUCCUUCUUAAUUCCCCCCACUUUUUUUAUUAUUUUAAAACUCAUUUUUCCCCCCUACAUAAACUCUGGUAAUAUGGCACAGCAGCACAGCUCUGGCUACUGCUGCUACCAUUUUCCCUCCCUGACAUGUCAUGUCACAAAACCUGUUGGGAAAGCAGUUCUGAAAAGUAAGAGAGGGAAUCUGAAGCCUCUCUCCAUUCUCCUUUCUGAAACCAUUUAGAAACCCAACGGUGACACAUUUUCACUGUUAGGUAACCCUUUCACAAUUGGUUAAAUCUUCUCUUCCCUGUGGUUCCAAUUAUGAUUGGCCUCAUGCUGCUACUCAGCUUUUCCCUAAGUUUAAUAGCAGCAUGGGGAGAGGAAAUUCCACCAGCAUUGCAGGAAAGGGGAGUUUCAAAACUUUAUUCUGCCUGCAAUCCCUGCUGUGCUGCUCAGCUGACUGAGAAACAACUGAGAGAGGUGAAAAGGGGGCUGGACUACAGAACAAAAUUAACCCUUAGAUGGACCCCACUCCCUUCUUCCUGCUUCUUGGCUAAUCAGUGGGAGGGUAUUUUGUGGGAGCAACCAGAAGGUGUUCAGGCCAUGCAGAUUGCACACUUCUG
rnacentral:lncRNA from 1 species